AUGCAAGUCGAGCGGUAGAGAGGUGCUUGCACCUCUUGAGAGCGGCGGACGGGUGAGUNAUGCCUAGGAAUCUGCCUGGUAGUGGGGGAUAACGCUCGGAAACGGACGCUAAUACCGCAUACGUCCUACGGGAGAAAGCAGGGGACCUUCGGGCCUUGCGCUAUCAGAUGAGCCUAGGUCGGAUUAGCUAGUUGGUGAGGUAAUGGCUCACCAAGGCGACGAUCCGUAACUGGUCUGAGAGGAUGAUCAGUCACACUGGAACUGAGACACGGUCCAGACUCCUACGGGAGGCAGCAGUGGGGAAUAUUGGACAAUGGGCGAAAGCCUGAUCCAGCCAUGCCGCGUGUGUGAAGAAGGUCUUCGGAUUGUAAAGCACUUUAAGUUGGGAGGAAGGGCAUUAACCUAAUACGUUAGUGUUUUGACGUUACCGACAGAAUAAGCACCGGCUAACUCUGUGCCAGCAGCCGCGGUAAUACAGAGGGUGCAAGCGUUAAUCGGAAUUACUGGGCGUAAAGCGCGCGUAGGUGGUUCGUUAAGUUGGAUGUGAAAGCCCCGGGCUCAACCUGGGAACUGCAUUCAAAACUGUCGAGCUAGAGUAUGGUAGAGGGUGGUGGAAUUUCCUGUGUAGCGGUGAAAUGCGUANAA
rnacentral:rRNA from 1 species